rnacentral:lncRNA from 1 species
CGGAGACGGAGAGAGCUUGGAGAGCAGAGAAAGGCAGAGAGAGCGAGAAAUAGAGACAGUCUGAGAGACAGACAGACAGCCAGAGAGAGCGGGAGGGAGGAGGGCGGAGGAGGAGGAGCAGGAGGACUACGCGGGGCGCGUUCCCUCCCAGCAGCCGGGCGCCCGCGUCGCUGCCACCGCCGGAAGACAGACGUCCCCCAAAACCCCUCGCCUGGCUCGGACCCACGGAGCCGGCAGCCCAGCACUCCGAUGGGAGCUUGCCUGAUUGUCAACCCAUCGGCCUGGACCCCAGAGCCCACCCAGCUGAGCGUGUGCAGAGGGCCCCGAGUGCGGGGCGACGCUCAGGCCGUUGCAGAGACCACCCUGGAGAUGCUGAUGAAGACAGGCCUUUCCUGCUGAGCCCAGCCUAUCUUCGCAGCCUGCUCAGAAAGGGGAACUGAGGCUCAUGGAUAUACAGUGAGUCCUACCUCCUAGCCUGAGGACUCUUCCCUGCGCCUUGAUGACCUGAGAGAACUGGGAGGAGAAAGGGGUUGUGACAAUGACCAGGACUCAGGGCAGAGGUGGAAACCAGAGUGCCUGAUGUGUGCAGCUGCUGACCCCCCAGGACACCUCUCUACCGGAGUCUGUGGAAGCAGAGAACUGGGAGGCCAAGGAUUGGUAUGAAGAAUUAAAUGAAACGAUGCCUGGACAGCUUCCAGCCCAGUACCUGGCGCGCAGUAGGUGCUCACUAAACCUGAGCUGCGAUGGUCCUUUCCAG